CAGAAAAGGGUGUGUGGAAUCGAUUUAAGUUUAACCUGACAGUACAUGUCUUGAAGGUCUUUUAUGAACUUGAAACACAUCGGCUAGGUCUUCAUCCUCACCUGCACUGGAAUUACCUACUUAAGAAAAACAAACUAAUGAUACACAAAGAAGCACUUAUAAAUUACAUAUCUUCAUGCCGGAAACACUAUUUGGAUGCGUGUGGAUGAUUCUGAAAAUUGAUAUAGUCUGAAGGAUGUAUAUGUACAUUUAUAUAUAGACACAAUAUAACCCAAUUGAUAUUC
rnacentral:lncRNA from 1 species